GGGAAUUGUGUUUUUGGGCAAAAUGGACAUCCAGGAGCAAGUGUUCUGGGAGAAGGAUCAUGGGAACCAAGCUACUUCAUUACAGAUUGAUCGACUUUAAUCUACUUGAAUGAAGAAUGAUCUGAAAGCCAUGCUGACUGAAUGUAAGAGCCCUUACAUUGCUGUAAAAUGAGAAAGAAGCGGUUGUCUCUAUAAGCCACCUUAAUGACUGACAUAUGAGAAACACAAUCAUCUGGAUCAACUGCAGAGAUUUAAGUAAAGACAUCAAAAUCCUUUCCCCUACACCUCUUGGGGAUAAAUGUGUUUCUGAAGCCAUUUUCUGAAAAGAUUUACAAAUGAACACUAUGCAUAUGACGUGGGUUGUGGAACAAUUCAGAAGGGGCUGGAACAGUCUCUAUGAUCAAACAUGGUUAUGUUUCUGCAGGAAAAUGUAUGAAUAUUCACACUAAAUGGGACAUAGUCUAUACCAAGCUCCAUGUCUUUUCAGGUCAGUUCUUUCAGCCAAAUGAGUUGAGAUCAAGUUGUAUUACUUUUGUGGUAAUGAAAUAAAAACUUCAACUGUCAAAUUAAUACUGUAACUUGAGAUCAAAUACUGUGAAUUUUAAAAGCUAUACUUCAUUGAAUACUUAAUAUUUGCCUGCCCUUGUAUCUAGUGUAUUACAUAUGAUUUUGUUGUUGUUUUCACUAUUUUCCUAUGAAAAACAUCUUUGUGCUCUUAUUGUAAAGGUGAGGAAACUGAGGCCCAGAGGGUAAAAGUGAUUGGCUCAAAGACAGGCUAGUGAGCGACAGAGCCAGGAGAGGAACAUGGUUGACACUCUAAUGAUAGUAUUCUUUAUACCAUGCUAUAUUGCUUCUCUCAAAAAUUCUCUCAUUCACAACUAAAUUAAAAAAGACAAAUUUGCUUCAAUGGCUAUAUAAAUACAAUUUUGAAAUCCUUGUUCAUUAAUUCCUAAAAUGAUUUACUAAGUGUCUAUUAUGUGUCUGCAUAGUUUUUAUGCAGUUUACAAAUAUUCCCAUUUUUUUCUUUUUUUCUGGACCAGGGUAGAAAACCAUUUAUUCACUCCCUCUGAA